GAGUGAACGCUGGCGGUAGGCCUAACGCAUGCAAGUCGAACGGCAGCACAGUAAGAGCUUGCUCUUACGGGUGGCGAGUGGCGGACGGGUGAGGAAUACAUCGGAAUCUACUUUUUCGUGGGGGAUAACGUAGGGAAACUUACGCUAAUACCGCAUACGACCUACGGGUGAAAGCAGGGGAUCUUCGGACCUUGCGCGAUUGAAUGAGCCGAUGUCGGAUUAGCUAGUUGGCGGGGUAAAGGCCCACCAAGGCGACGAUCCGUAGCUGGUCUGAGAGGAUGAUCAGCCACACUGGAACUGAGACACGGUCCAGACUCCUACGGGAGGCAGCAGUGGGGAAUAUUGGACAAUGGGCGCAAGCCUGAUCCAGCCAUACCGCGUGGGUGAAGAAGGCCUUCGGGUUGUAAAGCCCUUUUGUUGGGAAAGAAAAGCAGCAGGUUAAUACCCCGCUGUUCUGACGGUACCCAAAGAAUAAGCACCGGCUAACUUCGUG
rnacentral:rRNA from 1 species